rnacentral:lncRNA from 1 species
GGCAGGAUUUCCCAUCUGCCCAGUACUCCCUCCUGCCCCCUUGAUGCCAUUCUAGGCCCAUUGAUUGUGUCUUCAUCACAGCAUCCCGCCCCUGGCAGUGACUGGCAGCGGGGGUCUUCAGAGUAGUGACAGGACAUUCUCCCCUGCCAGGCUGGACAGGGUCCACCAGUCAGGCGGGUGGCACAUUCCAGAGCCACCCUAGUGGAGGAACUGGAAUGUCGUCUAACCACCCUGGAAAUUCCGCAGCCAGCCUGGGAACUGCCUCUGUCCCUCCUCCUGGCUUUGGGCUCACUAGCCUAGGACCACAGAAAGACCCAGAUUAGAGUAGGGACAGAGCCAGGUCAGGAAGUAGGCUUACCCCCUUAGGCUUGGCUUGGCUCUUUACUUCCUGGUGACCUUGGCCAAGACCUUCAAUUACUCCUUUCUGGUCUUAGUUUUUCUAUGUGUGAGAUGGGUGCAGUAACCAUCUGGCCACUUCACACUAGGGAAGUACUAAGAGGAGGAAACAUCAGUUGGGCACUCCUCUGCUGGAGACCUGACCAGACAGAGCCAUGGGGCUCAAAGAGGGGUGGUGGGCUUCCUGUAGAUAGGGCCUGGACCUUGCCGGAUAGGAGGCCAUGGUCAGAGACACAGUUUCUGAAGUCAGAUCAGAGUUUUCUGCCAUUGCUAGCUUUGUAAACCUGGGGGGAGGGGUGUUAUUUAGCCCUUCUAAGUCUCAGGAUUAAAUGAGAAGAGGUAUAUGAACUGUCUAACACAGAACUUGACACAGACAGCACUUCACUUGUGUUACAAUAGAGUUGUUAGAAGAUAAAGAAGGCUGUUCCCAAGCAAGAUAUGCCAUAUGACUGCUUUUGCUGUGCUGAGACUAGAGGAUGAGGGUGGAGUUUUCUGGAGGGAUGGCAGGAACCAGAUCAGCCAGGUCCUUAAGUGCCAGGUUAAGGAGCUUGGACAUUAUCCUGAAGGACUUAGGGAGCUAUGGAAGGAUUUUGAGCUUCAUAGCACAUGGUCAGAUUUGAGUUUUAGGAAACUCAUGUGAUUGCAGCAUCAAGGCUGGACAGAGGGUCAGG